rnacentral:rRNA from 1 species
UUGAAAGGGAAACGAUUGAAGUCAGUCGUACCAGCGGGAAAUCAACCUUUCGACUGGUGUUUUGGAGUUUUGAAGUGUGUCAAAACCUUUGAGAUUUUAAAAUUUUCGCUCUUUUGGUGUACUUUCUUGUGGGUAGGUUAACAUCGAUUUUGAUCAUCAUAAAAAGACUGGAGGAAUGUAGCUUCGAUCUUGUAUUGAAGUGUUAUAGCCUUUGGUAAAUGUGAUGAUUAGGAUCGAGGGUUGCAACGAAUACCCUUCUGGGCUAUCCGCCUGAUCUCUGAUACGUGGCCUUGGCAUCGAAAGCUUGCUUAUGGUAUCAAGGUAUUACGGUCAAAAGGUUGGAACGGAUUACAUUCGUUAAGGAUGUUGACGUA